AAUAAUUAUGAGGGUGGGAAACGAAGUGGCAGUUGGCCUUGGGCAGUGAGGAAAGGACCGGUAUUAAAUGCUCUUAAAAACUAUUUUUAAAUAAGGAAAUAAAAACGAAGUCUGCACGUAGAAGGAAAUCAUUCAGAAUCCUUUCCCCUUUUCUACUCUUUGGCGGUCACUCUCUGCCUUUUCUUAUCUUCCUCGCACCAACAACCCCAAAACAGCAACCCUCAAACUGGUUCAUGCACACACCAUAAAUUUGGACCAUAAGACUAAACUUCGAAUCAACCUGUACUAUAAUCCACAGAUCCAGUCGCUCAACAGUCUUAAUGCAAAAUCGUAUUUCAAAGCAAAAACAUGGUAAAGGAAAAACAAAUAAUCAUCAUACAGCAAGCGACACACGACAAAGAGCGAGCGAUACAUAGAUUGUGAGUUACGAAUGUAUACGAUAAACCAAGAAUAAAAGUGAAGGGGCAAGGAUCUACCGCUUUAACGCAACGGCGAAGAAGAGAAAACAAGUCCAGGUUAUAGCUCUGAGAUGACCUGAUGGAAUGGAAGGUGGCUGCUCCAAGCUUCAAGACAACCUAUUUUUUGUGACUAAGUCCAAAGUGAUUUCAUCCUAAUUGCUUGAUUUUGGUCAUUAUGAACCUAUUUCCAUCUGUAGCAAUUUUUCACUGUAAUUACUUAGUUUUAUUUUUUUAGACAAAAUGUGUGUUUGGAUUAUUUGGGAUUUAUUGAAUUAAAUUUUAAUUAUGUAAUUA